rnacentral:rRNA from 1 species
UACGGAAGGGGCAAGCGUUGUUCGGAAUCACUGGGCGUAAAGCGCACGUAGGCCGAUUGUUAAGUCAGGGGUGAAAUCCUGGAGCUCAACUCCAGAACUGCCCUUGAUACUGACGGUCUCGAGUCCGGGAGAGGUGAGUGGAACUGCGAGUGUAGAGGUGAAAUUCGUAGAUAUUCGCAAGAACACCAGUGGCGAAGGCGGCUCACUGGCCCGGUACUGACGCUGAGGUGCGAAAGCGUGGGGAGCAAACAGG